UACGGAGGAUGCAAACGUUGCUCGGAAUCAUUGGGCGUAAAGCGCACGUAGGCGGUCUUGUAAGUCGGACGUGAAAGCCCUCGGCUCAACCGAGGAAGUGCAUUCGAAACUGCAAGGCUUGAGUAUGGAAGAGGGUCUCGGAAUUCCCGGUGUAGAGGUGAAAUUCGUAGAUAUCGGGAGGAACACCAGUGGCGAAGGCGGAGACCUGGGCCAAUACUGACGCUGAGGUGCGAAAGCGUGGGGAGCAAACAGG
rnacentral:rRNA from 1 species